ACCGCCUGAACUGAAACAUCUAAGUAGGGCGAGGAAGAGACAUCAAACGAGAUUCCGUAAGUAGUGGCGAGCGAACGCGGAAGAGGGCAAACCGGGAGUAGAAAUACUUCCGGGGUACGGACUGCUUUUAGGACUCGAUCUGUUAACCGAACGGCAUGGGAAGGCCGGUCAGAGAGUGUGAGAACCACGUAGGUGAAAACGGAAAGAGCUGCGCAGAUUCCAGAGUACGGCCAGACACGUGAAACCUGGUCGGAAGAUGGGGGGACCACCCUCCAACCCUAAAUACUACCCAGUGACCGAUAGCGUAUAGUACUGUGAAGGAAAGGUGAAAAGCACCCCGGGAGGGGAGUGAAAAAGAACCUGAAACCCUGUGCCUACAAGCACCUAGAGCGCGUCAAUGCGUGAUAGGGUACUUUUUGUAGAACGGUCCGGCGAGCGAUUGUAUGCAGCAAGGUUAAGGACUUAAGGUCUGGAGCCGAAGCGAAAGCGAGUUUGAAAAGGGCGUUAAGUUGCAUAUAAUGGGCCCGAAACCGGGUGACCUACCCAUGGUCAGGUUGAAGUGGAAGUAAAAUUCCAUGGAGGACCGAACCGACCUCCGUUGAAAAGGCGGCGGAUGAACUGUGGGUAGCGGAGAAAUUCCAAUCGAACCCGGAGAUAGCUGGUUCUCCCCGAAAUAGUUUUAGGACUAGCCUCAAGUUAGAUACCUGGAGGUAAAGCACUGAAUAGCCUAGCGGCCGAGAGGUUAGCGAAGCUUAUCAAACUCAGAAUGCCAGAGUAUUGAUGCUUGGGAGUCAGACAGUGUCAGAUAAAUGUCAUUGUCAAAAGGGAAACAGCCCAGAUCUACAGCUAAGGUCCCAAAGUCAGGUUAAGUGGAAAACGAUGUGAAGAUACGCAGACAACCAGGAUGUUGGCUCAGAAGCAGCCACUCAUUCAAAGAGUGCGUAAUAGCUCACUGGUCGAGCGUCUUUGCGCGGAGAAUUUAACGGGGCUAAACCUGACACCGAAGCUUAGGCAAUCCAGUAAUGGAUUGGGUAGGGGAGCGUUGUAUACGCGGAGAAACAGUAGCGUGAGCGGCUGUGGAGUGUAUAGAAGUGAGAAUGCCGGAAUGAGUAGCGCGAAUGCAGUGAGAAUCUGCAUGGCCGAAAGCCUCAGGUUUUUGGAGGAAGGUUCGUCCGCUCCAAGUUAGUCGGGAGCUAAGGUGAGGCCGGAAGGCGUAGCCGAUGCACAGACGGUAGAGAUUCCGUCACCACCGAAAGAGUUAAGCACAGGGACACAUUUGAAGUCUCAGAGCCGGGUGUUGGUUCCGGUAGAGAUCGAGGGAAGUUAGUACCGAAGUCUGGGAUGGAAGAUGGCGAGAAAAGCUGUGUGUAUUUCUGAGGUGCCCGUACCGCAAACCGACACAGGUAGGUAGGAAGAAGAUUCUAAGGCCAACGGGAGAAGGGUUGUUAAGGAACUCGGCAAAUUGACCCCGUAACUUCGGGAGAAGGGGUGCUCCAGAGAUGGAGCCGCAGAGAAUCGGCCCAAGCAACUGUUUACCAAAAACACAGGUUUGUGCUAAAUCGAAAGAUGACGUAUACGAGCUGACGCCUGCCCGGUGCUGGAAGGUUAAGAGGAGAUGUGCAAGCAUUGAAUCGAAGCCCCAGUGAACGGCGGCCGUAACUAUAACGGUCCUAAGGUAGCGAAAUUCCUUGUCAGGUAAGUUCUGACCCGCAUGAAAGGCGUAAUGAUUUGGGCACUGUCUCAACAGCCCGCCCGGCGAAAUUGUAGUACCGGUGAAGAUGCCGGUUACCCGCGACAAGACGGAAAGACCCCAUGGAGCUUUACUGUAGCCUAAUAUUGGGUUUCGAUGUUGCAUGCACAGGAUAGAUGGGACACAGGGAAACAAUCGCUUUGGCGGUUGCGGAGUGGCCGUUGGGAUACCAUCCUUGCGAUAUUGGAAUUCUAACCUGCGGCUCUGAAUCGAGUCGGGGGACAUUGUUAGGUGGGCAGUUUGACUGGGGCGGUCGCCUCCUAAAAAGUAACGGAGGCGUUCAAAGGUUCGCUCAGCUUGAACGGAAAUCAAGCAAAAGAGUGCAAACGCAGAAGCGAGCCUAACUGCGAGACUGACGGGUCGAGCAGUAACGAAAGUUGGAGUUAGUGAUCCGGUGGUAUGUGAGUGGAAAUGCCAUCGCUCAACGGAUAAAAGUUACCCUGGGGAUAACAGGCUGAUCUCCCCCAAGAGUCCACAUCGACGGGGAGGUUUGGCACCUCGAUGUCGGCUCA
rnacentral:rRNA from 1 species